AGCCAUCGAAAUAAGUAUGACUUGCUAGAGGAUAGAAACAUCCUGAACAAAUGAAGAGAACUAAGGAGUCUAUUCAAAGAAUGUGACAUUGACAUACAUUUAAUACUUCUUAGUUUUAGGAGAGUAACAUCGAUAUCCUUUUUGAAGUCAAGAAUAACCUAAGAAGACACAAUUGAGAGCGCGAACGGAGAGUUUCUAGACUUGAAGACAUGUCAUGAACAAAACAUACACAGCCAAACACUCGGGGAGAUGUAUGAAAGAGAGGAUCAUUAGGAAACAAAAUGAAUAAAGGGAAUUUAUUAUCAAGAGAGGAUGAUGACAUCAUAUUAAUAAGAUAACAUGCAAUUAAG
rnacentral:lncRNA from 1 species